UCGACUAUACUUUCAGGGGUCAUUUCUAUAGUGUGUGGUCGCGCUUACCGCAAUGAAGCGUUAUGAGUACUUCUUCCUGAACAUGAAGAAGGUAGACCCUUGGUUCAUCCAUGUUCUCUGCUACUGAUGACUGUUCACUGUUUCUUUCAGAGAUGGAGGGGAUGAGUAUGAUCAGAGUGGU
rnacentral:snoRNA from 1 species